UAUGAGAGUUUGAUCCUGGCUCAGGACGAACGCUGGCGGCGUGCCUAAUACAUGCAAGUCGUACGCUUCUUUUUCCACCGGAGCUUGCUCCACCGGAAAAAGAAGAGUGGCGAACGGGUGAGUAACACGUGGGUAACCUACCCAUCAGAAGGGGAUAACACUUGGAAACAGGUGCUAAUACCGUAUAACAAUCGAAACCGCAUGGUUUUGAUUUGAAAGGCGCUUUCGGGUGUCGCUGAUGGAUGGACCCGCGGUGCAUUAGCUAGUUGGUGAGGUAACGGCUCACCAAGGCUACGAUGCAUAGCCGACCUGAGAGGGUGAUCGGCCACAUUGGGACUGAGACACGGCCCAAACUCCUACGGGAGGCAGCAGUAGGGAAUCUUCGGCAAUGGACGAAAGUCUGACCGAGCAACGCCGCGUGAGUGAAGAAGGUUUUCGGAUCGUAAAACUCUGUUGUUAGAGAAGAACAAGGAUGAGAGUAACUGUUCAUCCCUUGACGGUAUCUAACCAGAAAGCCACGGCUAACUACGUGCCAGCAGCCGCGGUAAUACGUAGGUGGCAAGCGUUGUCCGGAUUUAUUGGGCGUAAAGCGAGCGCAGGCGGUUUCUUAAGUCUGAUGUGAAAGCCCCGGCUCAACCGGGGAGGGUCAUUGGAAACUGGGAGACUUGAGUGCAGAAGAGGAGAGUGGAAUUCCAUGUGUAGCGGUGAAAUGCGUAGAUAUAUGGAGGAACACCAGUGGCGAAGGCGGCUCUCUGGUCUGUAACUGACGCUGAGGCUCGAAAGCGUGGGGAGCAAACAGGAUUAGAUACCCUGGUAGUCCACGCCGUAAACGAUGAGUGCUAAGUGUUGGAGGGUUUCCGCCCUUCAGUGCUGCAGCUAACGCAUUAAGCACUCCGCCUGGGGAGUACGACCGCAAGGUUGAAACUCAAAGGAAUUGACGGGGGCCCGCACAAGCGGUGGAGCAUGUGGUUUAAUUCGAAGCAACGCGAAGAACCUUACCAGGUCUUGACAUCCUUUGACCACUCUAGAGAUAGAGCUUCCCCUUCGGGGGCAAAGUGACAGGUGGUGCAUGGUUGUCGUCAGCUCGUGUCGUGAGAUGUUGGGUUAAGUCCCGCAACGAGCGCAACCCUUAUUGUUAGUUGCCAUCAUUCAGUUGGGCACUCUAGCAAGACUGCCGGUGACAAACCGGAGGAAGGUGGGGAUGACGUCAAAUCAUCAUGCCCCUUAUGACCUGGGCUACACACGUGCUACAAUGGGAAGUACAACGAGUCGCGAAGUCGCGAGGCUAAGCUAAUCUCUUAAAGCUUCUCUCAGUUCGGAUUGUAGGCUGCAACUCGCCUACAUGAAGCCGGAAUCGCUAGUAAUCGCGGAUCAGCACGCCGCGGUGAAUACGUUCCCGGGCCUUGUACACACCGCCCGUCACACCACGAGAGUUUGUAACACCCGAAGUCGGUGAGGUAACCUUUUGGAGCCAGCCGCCUAAGGUGGGAUAGAUGAUUGGGGUGAAGUCGUAACAAGGUAGCCGUAUCGGAAGGUGCGGCUGGAUCACCUCCUUUCUAAGGAA
rnacentral:rRNA from 1 species